CUGAGGCUACUGGGACAGGAAGGAAGUCACAGAAAUAGCUCCAGGGGUCCAUGGACUGAUGAACUUUGCUUUUCUGCUUGCUCAGGUCCUGCUGGCCCUGA
rnacentral:pre_miRNA from 1 species